ACCCAAGUUGAAGCUUGGUAUGUAAGGCAACAGAACAAAAGAGAGAUUUUUUUUUUCCCCAAUAAAUUUGAACAAGUAAUGUACUGAAAAUAAAGGAAAAGAAAGCUACACAGAACUAGUCAGGUCACAAAAUGCUUAGAUGCAGAAGUAGAGGUGGAUGUCAUUUACUUGGAUUUUCGGAAGGCCUUCAAUAUGACAAACAGGGCUACCAAGUACACCCCUGAAACAUGGAAGAUGCCAAAUUUCAGCCGAUUUUGGAUUUUAAACUUUACUGCAGAACAACAAGGAAGGGGUUUUUUUUGCCUCCCUACCUACCAUCUGACACCUUCAGGGAAGGAAUUCUACCUGAUCAACACAUCAAAUUGCUACUCAACACAGCUCACAAAGACACUCUCAUGGACCCAGAGGGACAGCCUUCCAUCUUCAGUUCCCUCUGUGCAAAAAUGAAGUUUAUUUCCGACCUAUGGGGACUUUUUACCAUCUUGUACCAUCUACACUUUUCCCAGAGCCUGACGAAGGGACUUUGAUUCCCAAAAGCUUGCAGAAAAGGACAAUUUUCUUGCCAUUUUCCAGUUGGUCUAAUAAAAGGUAUCAUUUUGGAACCAGGAGUUCUAGUUUUUUGUAUGUCUUUUUCUCUUAAUACGGAAGAUUGAGUUAUGUCAGUAGAAGUUGUUUUUGGAUCCCAGUUGUUAUUAAGUAAUUGUUUCCUCAGGAUAUCUCAUU